rnacentral:sRNA from 1 species
CAGAAGCACCUGAUCUGUGGCCCUGUGAAAGUAGCUGGUGCACCUGGCACUCUGAUGACUGCCCCUGAGUACUACAAGUGAGUGAGGCUGGGAGGAACACCAACCUAAGCCAGGGUAAUGUGGGGGGACUCUACCCAGGACCCUGCCCACUGGCCUUCCUCUCUUCCAAACACAGGUUCCGACAUGCCCAGGUGUGCAAGGCCUCAGCACUGAAGCAUGGUGGGGAUCUGGCACAAGACCCAGCCUGGACAGAGAUCUUUGGUGUUCUCUCUGUGGCCACCAUCAAGUUUGAGAUGCUGAGCACAGCCCCACGGAGUCAGCUCUUCCUGGCUCUGGCUGACAGCAGUAUCUCCACGAAGGGCACAAAGAGUGGCACCUUUGUCAUGUAUAAUUGUGCCCGUCUUGCCACACUCUUUGAGAGUUACAAGUGUAGUAUGGAACAAGGUCUGUACCCCACUUUUCCUCCUGUGAGCAGUCUGGACUUCUCACUGCUACAUGAUGAGGUGAGUGUCCCUCCCGGUAGUUGGCACAAGGAGGCCUGGACUUCCCCUCCCAGUACCUUUCUCCCCCACAGGGUGAAUGGUUGUUGCUCUUCAACAGUAUCCUCCCCUUUCCGGAUCUGCUAAGCCAGACAGCAGUGCUGGACUGCACAGCCCCGGGGCUCCACAUUGCUGCACGCACAGAGAUGGUGAGGCAUAGACAACCAGGACACUCUACACUCUAUUCUUUAUUCUGGCCUGGGGCACAAGAGCAAAGAGAUGGGCCAGUGACUCAGUCUCUGUCUCUAGAUAUGCAAGUUCCUGGUACAGCUCAGCAUGGAUUUCAGCUCCUACUACAACCGGGUACACAUCCUGGGGGAGGCUCGACCACACCUCUUUGGUCAGAUGUUCGUCCGCCUGCAGCUUCUGAGGGCUGUGCGUGAGGUGCUCCAUACUGGCCUGGCUAUGCUGGGUCUCCCUCCACUGAGCCACAUCUAAGGCCACAGAGGCUCCAAUACUUGGGAAUGUUCACAAAGUCAUCAACUGGAAAAAAAGCAAAAAC